rnacentral:rRNA from 1 species
GAUGAACGCUGGCGGCGUGCCUAAUACACGCAAGUCGAGCGAACAGACGAGGAGCUUGCUCCUCUGACGUUAGCGGCGGACGGGUGAGUAACACGUGGAUAACCUACCUAUAAGACUGGGAUAACUUCGGGAAACCGGAGCUAAUACCGGAUAAUAUAUUGAACCGCAUGGUUCAAUAGUGAAAGACGGUUUUGCUGUCACUUAUAGAUGGAUCCGCGCCGCAUUAGCAAGUUGGUAAGGUAACGGCUUACCAAGGCAACGAUGCGUAGCCGACCUGAGAGGGUGAUCGGCCACACUGGAACUGAGACACGGUCCAGACUCCUACGGGAGGCAGCAGUAGGGAAUCUUCCGCAAUGGGCGAAAGCCUGACGGAGCAACGCCGCGUGAGUGAUGAAGGUCUUCGGAUCGUAAAACUCUGUUAUUAGGGAAGAACAAAUGUGUAAGUAACUAUGCACGUCUUGACGGUACCUAAUCAGAAAGCCACGGCUAACUACGUG